rnacentral:tRNA from 4 species
GGAGGAUUCGCCUAGUGGCCUAGGGCGCACGCUUGGAAAGCGUGUUGGGAUAAAACCCUCACGAGUUCGAAUCUCGUAUCCUCCGCCA